GGUCUCUUCGCAUUGGUACCCCGAAUUCUCAAUUCUUAUACCCCUUUAGCAUGGUGUUAAAAGCUGUUUCCAGCAAUUUUCACUUUUGCUUUUCUCGUGUUCCUUUCCCCUUCUUCCUUCGUACUACCUUCCAUUUAAUUCAAUAUAUAUGUUAUUUUGUGUUUUGUAGGUCUUCUCUCACUAUAAUGUAAACUUAUUUGAAGGUAGGGAUUUUAUCCAUUUUGUUUACUUUACAGUGCCUCUCCUGUUAGGCAUUCAGUGGAUGAAUAAAUCCACAGCCUUCCAUCUUACAGAGCUGUAGCAUUUCAGAGGUGGAAAAGACUGAGAAACUAGCUCGACCCUCCUCAUUUACAGAUACCCUCAGUCAACUGCAGUUCAGAAGAUGAUCAUCCCUCUGAAGUGUCAUUAGAAGGAAUGAGCGACUGAUGGGAUUGAAUUCAGAGGCCAGAUGAUAUCAACAUAUUGACUGUCAUGAAAGAAAACAACUGUUAAAAUGAACACAUGGUUAAAUGACUGACACCAAAUCCCGAGGAAGAAAAGGCCAGACCCACACUUCUCCAUCUGUGACCACGGCGACCUCACCCUGACAUUAUGGUCCUCCAACGCCAGAGCACGCAAGCGGACACGUGCAAGCCCGGCUGUGCGAAGUAACAGGAAGACACCUGGGCCAAGGAGCUUUGGGUCUCAAGUGCCCACAGAGGCCCCCUUUGGAGCAAUGACCUGCUUAUCCAAUUGCCUCCCCACACCCAUCCCCCGUCGGGCUUCCUCUCCAUCCCUUCCUCUUCCCAGGGACCCAGCUUCCAUUGGCCACCAGAAUCCCCUUCUACUAACAACUUAGGGGUAUCAGACUAUGGACACGCUACGGGGCCCUAUCUCAG